UCUCAGACAAAGACCAACUGGUGGCUUGAGAACAUGGGAUCCUGAAACAGGUAACUGCUUGUCCUUAGCGCUAUUGUCCAAGGCUGGUUUUGAAUAUACUGUAUCCUUUUCCUUACUUUAAUGUGUGUGUUUCAGCUUACCUCACCAGAUGUGAUUUUAAUAACAACUCAAGACCAUUUUGUGACUGGACCCAACCUUGCAAUGUGAACCAGGGUGUGUGGAUACGAACCAAGCAUGACACUCCAACUGAUGGAACAGGUCCUGAUGGAGAUUAUCCUGAUGGAAAAGGCUAUUUCAUCUACCAAGAAGCAAGUAAUCUGAUCCCAUUUGACACUAACAGACUUGAGAGCCCAGAUGUUGUGGUUUCUGGAAAAGUAUGCAUAGACUUCUGGUACUAUAUGUUUGGGUCAGAAGAAAUGAAUGAGUUGAGAGUGAUUAUCCAAGACAGCACAGGGGAGUCUGUGGCAUGGAGUCGGAAGGGAAACCAGAGUUCCUCUUGGAAUUAUGGUGCUGUCAUUCAUACUUUUCCAACACAGAGAAGGAUAAAGGUCAUUUUUGAGGCUGUCCGAGGACUGACAGAGUAUGGGGAUACAGCACUGGACAAUGUGAGAGUAAGGGAUGGAUCCUGUGGUAAGUUUUAUAUUUGUGCCUUAGCAUACACUCCUUCCUCAUCUCUGUUUAAGCUGUUGACCAUUAUUCAAUUCCAUAUACAGUAUCAAAACUCCUUGUAAUUCCAAACCACAAAAGAAAUGGCAAAAGCUUUACAGCUCACUUCAUUUAAAUGUUAUCUGUUUUGGUGUAGAUUCUUCCCAAAUCUUUCCUCACUACCUCAAAUGUAGAGAAUAAGCUAUCCGCUUCUCUGCAAAUGUGAUCAUUUUCACACAGUUCAACAAACUUUAAGUUUGAAGUCCGUCUCUAAACCCACCCAAGGAUAUGAACAUUGGUCAUGAAUUACAGAUUAAAUGAUCUAAUCAACAUUUUACAGCAAACCUCUGUUCAUAUGAGCUCAGUAAAUAAACAGAACUUCCAUAUGUAGCA
rnacentral:lncRNA from 1 species